ACGGGUGAGUAAUGUCUGGGAAACUGCCUGAUGGAGGGGGAUAACUACUGGAAACGGUAGCUAAUACCGCAUGACCUCGUAAGAGCAAAGUGGGGGACCUUCGGGCCUCACGCCAUCGGAUGUGCCCAGAUGGGAUUAGCUAGUAGGUGAGGUAAUGGCUCACCUAGGCGACGAUCCCUAGCUGGUCUGAGAGGAUGACCAGCCACACUGGAACUGAGAUACGGUCCAGACUCCUACGGGAGGCAGCAGUGGGGAAUAUUGCACAAUGGGCGCAAGCCUGAUGCAGCCAUGCCGCGUGUGUGAAGAAGGCCUUAGGGUUGUAAAGCACUUUCAGCGAGGAGGAAGGGUUCAGUGUUAAUAGCACUGUGCAUUGACGUUACUCGCAGAAGAAGCACCGGCUAACUCCGUGCCAGCAGCCGCGGUAAUACGGAGGGUGCAAGCGUUAAUCGGAAUUACUGGGCGUAAAGCGCACGCAGGCGGUUUGUUAAGUCAGAUGUGAAAUCCCCGAGCUUAACUUGGGAACUGCAUUUGAAACUGGCAAGCUAGAGUCUUGUAGAGGGGGGUAGAAUUCCAGGUGUAGCGG
rnacentral:rRNA from 1 species